UGUUCUCCGACUCUUCGUGUGCCGCUCGGUUCUUUUCCUGGUCAAAUGAACAAGAGCUGUAACACUAGCUGUACAUACUGCCGCAACAGUCUCGGUUAUGCCUGGGCGAAAUAUUACAAGAGUAUUUUUUUUAUGAAGAGAAGAAAUGCUUCAGGGAGUUGAGAUAAUCUGUCCAAGGUCAGACUUCUAGUAAAUAGUAUGAUUAGAGCUCUAAGACUACACCCUCAACCUUUCCCCCUACAUCUCAGGUCCUCUUCGAUGCCAUGCAAAACCCUGGUGAGAGUCUGGGUAGGAUGGGGAGCUUUCGCAACAACCACCGAAGGUUUCCUACCCACCAAUUCCAAUAUAUGUGUUUUCAUAAGAUCAUCCAGAGCUAUGCACUGGAGCAAAAAUUAUAGCCACAGGUGGCAUUAGCUUUCACCUGUUAGGAGGCACGUUGGACUUACCAGUUAAAGACAUUUUCCAAUGACCCGUAGCAGCUGAACCUAACGUGCCUCUUAGAAGAGAAGCUCGUGCGUAAGACUUAGUGCUUCUUCAAUCCCUUUAGCUGCCUGCUAAGUGCAGAAUGCCCUCUCCUGCUGCUCUCUGCUUAUGGAGCUGGCAUUUGCUACACAUGUUUCAAAUGUACACGGUAUUUGAAAAAUGAUCCUUCAUCUGAACCAGCUUUUGCGAUCUCAUUCCACAGGCUACACACAAAGCUAGGGAUAUACUGCAGGCCUGGGGGGCCACAGGGAGGGAGCAGAUGGUCUCGGGGUGUCUGAUAAAAGCAAACCCGGCCAAUGUGUGUUUUCAAAUGCUGAGACGACUUUUUGUUUUUGGUUUGCCUCACUUGGGCCAUUCCUUGGCAUCCCACGAUGAACUGAACAAUUCGCCCUACUUAUAACUUCAUGUGUCUGAGUUGCGAACGUUUGUGAAAUUGAAGCAUUUGAAAGUUCACUGUGGGUUAGUCGAAUCCCUCUGAUGUUUACAGCGUUGUGAUCAGAUGGAAAACUUUCCACAGACACUUAUGGAUAUCUGAGCUAUUUGCACUUGCAUUUCUGGAUGCCCUGGUUUUGAAAUGGAAACUAUUACGAAAGAAAUCGAUUUCCAAGUUCACGUGUCUCAGAGCAGUGUGAAUGACACUCAGCCUCCAUUAGAAGGAGGACUAUGUAAUAAAUGAGGCGCGAUGUAACAAAGGAGCCACCUCUUCCUCAGCUGUCAUCCUUGUUCCAUGCCCUCCCGCCUGCGCGCUCUCGGGCUCUAGCAGGAGUGGCAGCUCCCGUGUCUGGGAUGAGGCACUUUCAUUGGUUCGCCGUUUCUUUAACACCUCUAUUGAUGGAUGUGGAAGGGAGGCCAGGAAAUAAUGCCAGUAAAGGGAAGUUUGUGAAUUUUCUUUCUUUUAAAACAUAUUUUUAUCAAAUAAUAUUCUUUCAUCUCUCCUUCCUUUCCUCCUUCACGUCUUCCUUCAAGCUCCCCACAUGACAGGCAUUUAUUUGCCUAGGAUGCAAAAACAUGAAACUCAGUGCUGCGAGAUGACAGCACUGGGAAUGUCCCGGCCAAGCGACAAGCGAGCAAGGAUGUUCUCACCAGCAGGGCCCGAACCAGGGGAAGAAGGGCCCGGCUCAGUCUGAGUCUGUAAUAAGAAGACCCGCUAAGCUUUUCGGAAUCACCCAAUUUACCUUCUGAUCUUUCUUGGAAGCUUUUCUUCGUUUCCAACUGGAAGCCUGGCUCCUCUGUGGACUCAGGCGCCGUUUGAGCUUCCAGACACUUCGCAGGCCACAAGCAGUGGCAGAGGUGUGGAGAUUUUAAAGCAUGCACGUUGUCCCGAUGAGUGCAAAUAAAAACCUGUCUUGCUUACUUGGAUUGUGGAAACCAGGAAUACAGAUCACACAGCUGGCGGAAUGUCAGAACUGGAAUUCGGUCCAACACCUUUACUGACUGUCUCGAACGUCUUAAAAACACAGUAGGCCUUGAAGCUUAAGCCAGAGCGAACUGUAAAGGAAAUACCAUCGGUGCAUGCGGUGAAAUACCCAAAAUGCCCCGCACCGGUUGCUAGCUCACCGGCUUCCCUGAGUUCAUUAUUGUUGCCAGGCCUUUCGUUAAUCUUAAAGCCUAUGCUUUUAGGAGAAAUAAAUGUAAAUAACUACAAAGUAAAUAUUAAAACAUGUUCCCCUUUGCUAUGCUCAUGAUGCUACUCUCUCACGAUUGGUAAUCAUUCUGAGGUUUUGUUUUUUGUUUUUUUUUAAGUAGUGGUCUAGUAUUCACACUCUAGUCCAAUAUUUUCUAAAGUGCGACAUGAAGCCCAGGUGUUUAAAAAUAUACUUCAAAGUCUAUCUUGGCAUCAGAGCAGGUGAGAGGAUCUCUCACCUCUCCUUAUUGCACAGUAACUCACUUGUUACCUGUUUAGAUACCAAUUUUCAAAGCGAAGGAGCAUUAGUGGUGGACGACCCUAUUCUCUGUGCAAAGCAGAUGUUCAAUAAAUAUUCGCUGGAAUGAAAGAAUCAAUGUAUGCAUGCAUGCAUGCUGUUUCUCAGGUUUUAUUUGAAAGUAUGAAGUUAGAAAAUUACUAUCAUCCUUGCCCUCUUUUCCCUCUGUGGUGCCUUUACAUGACUGCUAGAAGGACUUAGGCUGGCUGCGAAGUCAAGCAACUCACCAUCAUGAGUUCCGAAUGUGAAGCCCCCGUGCCCAAAGCGUCCACAUGGCUGCGCUUUUGAGAGGGAUGAUUCCUGGACUCUCGUGCUGGUUUUGCACCAGCGAGUCCUGCUACAAAGAUCCUUGACCAGAUUGCAUGCGACCUUUGGGAGCCUACUGCUUGGAUACUGGGAAGAGUACGUGAAAGGAUAAAAAAAAACACACUCUUGCCUUUGGAGGCAUAUUAAAAUCCUCUUGCAUGCUGUUGUCUUUUUCUCAUUGAAAAUAUCAAGUCUGUUUUCUAUAUAAACAGGCAUUUUCUUUUAUCUUGGUGAUAUUGUUUUACAAUCCGACUGUAUGACUUAAAUAUUUUAUUUGUCUCCAAAUCAUUUUUUUUUAACAUGGCCUGAUUAUUUGAAACAAUCUCACUCACUUUGGAAAAGUAUUAUUAGUGAACUUUCUUUCAACUAAGGAGGAAAACAAACAUGCAAAUAAUCUGGUUCCCCUGCGUGGUCUGCGCUGGUUAGUCACUCACACAUGCUUUCUCUGGGUAUGUGUCACCUGAAAUGGAAAGGGAAGUAGGAAAGUGACCCUCCCAAGCAUCCAUUCCAUACGACACUGGUGCGACGACUCUCGAGAGGCCACCGACUCAAAAACAAAAAAGGUUUCAGCAUUUGAAGAACAGUCCUGUAUUUAUUCUAUAUCUUAAAAUGAAGAUGAAUCAGAUAAAGGCAUUACAAGAACUACAAACAAAAAAUCGGGUGAUCUCUACUUAUGGAUUGGGUUUGCUGAGCCAUGACAGAAUUAUAGAGCAGAUGACAUUUGUUUUUCUUGUCAUCAGGGUCCUAAGCACCCUAUCCUGUUCCUGUU